CACGAAAAUAGUUGAGCUAAAUAAUUGUAAUUAUUAGAUUGUCAUAUGUAGCAUAAUAAAAACAAAUAAUUAUUUAGGGGUGAUAGGCUUGUCAAAACUAUAGAUAUCUUGAUUCUUUUUAAAAACAUUUAGUGUAAUGUCAACUAAGAAAUGAUAAGGUUUUUUAGUAGUAUGAAUAUGUCUUAACAGUUUAAAUCUUAACUUAAUCGUUAGAUUUUACCUACAUUAAAUUAUUAAUUUACAAUAUAUUGUGGCUUAUAUAAAGAAAUAUUUAAACUGUUUAAAUAAUUUAAAAUGUAACUAUAAGUAACUUGUAUAAAUACAAAAAAUGAACUCGGCAAAUUGCCUUUCAACUGUUUACCAAAAACAUAGCUAUGUGUAAUUAUUCAUAGUAAUUUCUGCUCAAUGAAAACUUAAAUAGCCGCAGUACCCUGACUGUGCAAAGGUAGCGAAAUAAUUUGGCUUAUAAUUGAAGUCCCGUAUAAAUGAAAAUUUGGGGGGCAUCUUUAUUCUUUGUAGAACUUGAAAUUACUAAUUAAGUGUAAAUUCUUAUAUUUAAAUGAUAGACGAGAAGACCCUAGAAAUUUUUAUAAAUUGUAGUUAAUCUUUUUGUUGGGGCAACAAGGUAACAUAAAAUUUACCUUUAAUAACAAGAACAUUUAUGCGAUAGAAUAAAUUACUCUAGGGAUAACAGCGUAAUUUAUAAAAGUUUGCGACCUCGAUGUUGGACUAGGGAACUGUUGUUUAGAA
rnacentral:rRNA from 2 species